GCAUCCGUAGCUCAGCUGGAUAGAGUACUCGGCUACGAACCGAGCGGUCGGAGGUCGGUCGGAGGUUCGAAUCCUCCCGGAUGCACCA
rnacentral:tRNA from 1 species